AUGUUUUUGUCACUUUUUAUGGAAUCAAACUCAAAAUAAGGGUGUUUCCAUGUCUCGUCUCUGUAACCCUGCAUAGUCGGCUGUCGGCUCCAUGAAGUUGAGAUUAAGGUGGUGCACAGGUCACAUCAUCUAAAGAAUGACUCAGUUUUUCUGUGACCAAACACAGCACGUCUUUAUGCCUCUGGUUUGGAUUAAUCCUACAACAGAGUAACUCUGGGAUCGAGCAAACAUCUCCAUGAUCGUUAACAGAAACCUCUGGAAUAUCAAAAGUAACGAAAACCAAUUUUUAGUUUAUUUUCUGAAAUAACACUCAAACAACACUGCAUUUAAAGAAAAUCAUGACAAAAAACAAAAAACAAUAAACAUUUAGAAAUGGCUUUAAACUCUAACAAAGUCAUCAUCAGUUACUAAAAUAGUUCCUUCCAUCUGUUUAUAAGGCACAUUAAAGGUCAGUUUCACUAUUCAUGACAAAUCAAAUUAUGACUCAAAAAGCCUGUAGACAAUUAUUGUCCAAUUCAAUAAACACUCUUCAACUCAACACAUUAAAAUAUGCGAUCAAUGAAUAUUUUAACUCCAUUAGCAAAGUUCGAAUUUUAGGCAAAAGUCCUGACAUCAAUCUGAGCUCUGUAAAAGCUGACUAGUGUCUUUGUAAUGUUUAGUACUUUAUCAUUAUUGAGAUCUCUGACAUACAGAGACCUUCAUGCAUUAAACAGCUGAUUCAGACAAUACAAAAUCAAUCUGAUUAUCUCUGAGUUUGGGAUUGUUAAUUGGAAAAAAAACCCGAAGCCCCAAAGAACGCAAAACAAUAAAUUUUUUUUAAAUGAAAUUUUGAUGGCAGUUAACUAAACUAAAAAGUAACCUCAGGAUUUAAUUCACUGAACCUCUGCAGUCUUUCAUUAUCUAAAUCUAAUUACAAAGCCAACCAAAGAAAUAAGAAUCAAAGGAAGCACAGUAAUCCAUUUUUACCAUCAAUAACUUAUAAUAUAAAAGUUUGCACUCUGCCUCGUCAGCAUUUGUCCAUGAAAUAAAUUAUCCAUAAUAAUUUGUCAGCGGUCAAAUAUAUGAAACGGUGUGUGAAUAUGUGUUCACUGCAGAGCUGACGGAGAACUGAUCCACCAGAGUCGAGGUGCCAAAGUAUCCUGUUAAAGCUGGAGUUUACUCCUUUGCUCUCCACACAUUCGUGCUUUGUUAAUGCAUGCAUGCAUCUGCUACAUUUUGAAGGUAAAAUGUUAUCAACUGUGCCACGUUUAAAGUAUCAUGUAAAUAUAGAGCCCAUAAGGAGGCCCUGAGCCAGACUGUGACUCGUGGUGGGGACAAAGAGUCCCAAACCUGGAAACUCUUCUCUGACAUCACUGUUCGAACCAUCUAACACAAGAGUAGGGAA